rnacentral:tRNA from 1 species
GCCUGGCUGGCUCAGUCAGAAGAGCAUGUGACUCUUGAUCUCGAGAUCAUGAGUACGAGCCCCUUGCUGGACG